rnacentral:rRNA from 1 species
UGGGGAAUAUUGGACAAUGGGCGAACGCCUGAUCCAGCCAUUCCGCGUGUUUGAAGAAGCUCUUCGGAUUGUAAAGCACUUUAAGUUGGGCGGAAGGGCAGUAAGCGAAUACCUUGCUGUUUUGACGUUACCGACAGAAUAAGCACCGGCUAACUCUGUGCCAGCCGCCGCGGUCAUACAGAGGGUUCAAGCGUUAAUCGGAAUUACUGGGCGUAAAGCUCGCGUAGGUUGUUCGUUAAGUUGAAUGUGAAAGCCCCGGGCUCAACCUGGGAACUGCAUCCAAAACUGGCGAGCUAGAGUAGGGCAGAGGGUGGUGGAAUGUCCUGUGUAGCGGUGAAAUGCGUAGAUAUAGGAAGGAAGACAAGUGGCGAAGGCGACCACCUGGGAUCAUACUGACACUGAGGUGCGAAAGCGUGGGGAGCAAACAGG